UACGUAGGGUGCGAGCGUUGUCCGGAAUUAUUGGGCGUAAAGGGCUCGUAGGCGGUUUGUCGCGUCGGGAGUGAAAACACCGGGCUUAACUCGGUGCUUGCUUUCGAUACGGGCAGACUAGAGGUAUUCAGGGGAGAACGGAAUUCCUGGUGUAGCGGUGAAAUGCGCAGAUAUCAGGAGGAACACCGGUGGCGAAGGCGGUUCUCUGGGAAUAUCCUGACGCUGAGGAGCGAAAGUGUGGGGAGCGAACAGG
rnacentral:rRNA from 2 species